rnacentral:snRNA from 1 species
AGCUUUGUGCAGUGGCAGUAUCAUAGCCUAUGAGGUUUAUCUGAGGCAUGAUUGUUGCUAAUUGUUAAGGAAAGGUUGCUCAAUGCAUUUCCUGUCAAAAUCAUUCCUAUUACCUCAGGGAU